rnacentral:misc_RNA from 1 species
GCAAGUGGACUAGUUGGCACGGUCUUGGAAACAUGGCAUCAACAGAAGCAAUGCGUCUUUUUGUAAAAAUUUUGGAGGAGGAGGACCCUGCAUGGUACUCAAAGGUCCCAGAAUUCACUGUGGAGCCUAUUACAGAUGUUGAAAUGCAUAAGCCAGAACUGGAGUCACCGAUGGAGCCUGCCGUCCGGAAUGGGAAUGCUAUUCCAGAACCUAAAACUAUUUCUGCGGAAACUGGAAGUAUAGUGGAGACCCAGGACAAAGACAUUGUAAUCGAGGGCCUCGGUUCAGUUGGUGUUUAUGACCAUUGGAUAGCACCUACAGUAUAUGGGCAACGCCCAAAGCCCCGAUACCAGCAUGGAUCUGCUACAGUCAAUGACAAAAUGUAUGUUUUUG